rnacentral:tRNA from 1 species
UCUUCCGUGGCGCAAUUGGCUAGCGCGUCUGACUGUUAAUCAGGAGGUUGACAGUUCAAGCCUGUCCGGGAGAG